UUUCUACCUUGGCCUGCAGCAACACAGAAGCUUCAGAGCAGUAGUGCAUAGUGUAUGGAUACUACCCGCCCCCGAGCCUAGCAAAUUGCCUGGUGAGCGGCCAUCCUGGAUAAAUGGUGAAUGAUGACAUCCCAGUGGUCACUUCCACACACCACAGGCUUCUCCGAAAUUGGAGUUCCAGAAGCCAUCCUUGGAUAACAUCUCUAUAAUCUCCUGGGAGAAUCCUUCUUCGAAGAAAUCCUCCAUCAGAGGAGAGUUCUUGGUCUCAGUCACAUCUGAAAGAGCAAGUGCAAAUGUCUCCUGUUCACUAAGGGUGAGAACACAGACAAGAGCAAGUAGGGGUGAUAGAUCUUGAGUCCAGCCUAUCCAUCAAGGGACCCAAAGGGGUGACCCAUGUGGAACUGGCAUCACAGAAAACAGACAGAGCCCAUUCCCAGGAGGGUCAAGAAGGGAGUUGGGAAACCAUAGGGUUCAACGAGGAGGGAGAUUCUACCAUUACCUUCACACCUAAGUGACUGACCAAGUUCCCUAAAAAAUCGCCUGGACUCACCUGCUUCUACUCUCCACUCUAUCCUGUACUGUCACCAAAAUCUUCCUCCUCAUAUCCUGCAUCCUCUAUCCCAGACAACACCCCGCUCUCCCCACACCACCAUCCAUCCAGUUCUCCAUGCUAGAAUCCUGGGAGUCAACCUCCUCCCUACCUCCCUCAACUUGGCACUAUUUUCAUUUGGUCUCUAUCGAAAUGUCUCAACUCCCUUCCUCUCCUCUCUUUAUCACUGACUCAGCAUCUGACCCCAGGCUGCUCAUUGGUCUCCUGUUUGUCUGUCUCUCUCUCUCUCUAGUCUUCCACACUAGCCCUAAAGGGCUUUGUAGUUAAUGGAUCUGACUAUAUCACUCCUCUGAUUAAACCCUUCCAUGGCUUCCUGCCUGGAGAAAAGAAAUGAGUGUAUUAGCCCAGUGUUCUUUGUGCUGACCUCAUAGAACUCUUGCGGUUCCCUAAAUCCACCAGACUUUCUCCUCUGUGCCUUUAAUGGUCCCUCAUGCUGGAUGGCACUUCCUGGACUAACUCCUCUAAGUCUUUUAAUACCCAGCUUAUCACCCUUCUCUGAAAGGCUUCCCUGACAACCCCAUCCCCAUUCUGCUUUAAGUCCCCUGCCCUGUAUUCUCUGAAAACCAGCUGAGCACUGACCAUCCUCUACCAUAACAGGUUAUGAAAGGGUCUGACCCCUGACCCUUACCAGAAGGUAAGUUCUUUAAUGGGGACCUUCCACUGCUCAUCCAUCCACUGCCACAGAGGCGGCCACGAGAAAGAUUCACAGGACAGAGUAAUUCCCAUUCAUGGUAUGCUUGUUCACAGGCAGGAGUGCCUCAGGCACUCUGUUACACUCGACAACCUCCUGUAAGGUAGGCACGUUUCUGCUUUCUUACAGGUAAGUGAGCAGAAGACUGAGGAUUUGAACCCCUCUGACUAUAUAUAUAUAUAUAUAUAUAUAUAUUUUUUUUUUUUUUUUUGGAGACUGAGUCUUGCCCUGUUGCCCAGGCUGAAGUGCUGCACGAUCUCAGCUCAACGCAACCUCUGCCUCCUGGGUUCAAGUGAUUCUCCUGCCUCAGCCUCCCGAGUAGCUGGGACUGCAGGUGCCCUCCACCACGCCCAGCUAAUUUUUGUAUUUUUAGUAGAGACAGAGUUUCAGCAUGUUGGCCAGGCUGGUCUCGAACUCCUGACCUCAAGUGACCGGCCUGCCUCGCCCUCCCAAAGUGCUGGGAUUACAGCUCCCAGGACAAGGGGAUGGAAGCCAGCGAGAAGCAGAGUGAAGUCCUGAAG
rnacentral:lncRNA from 1 species